GAUGAACGCUGGCGGCGUGCUUAACACAUGCAAGUCGAACGGAAAGGCCCUUACUUUCUGGGGUGCUCGAGUGGCGAACGGGUGAGUAACACGUGGGUAACCUGCCCUGCACUUUGGGAUAAGCUUAGGAAACUGGGUCUAAUACCGGAUAGGACGCUGUUUUGGAUGGCAUUGGGGGGAGUUUUUGCGGUGUGGGGUGGGCACGCGGCUUAUCAGCGUGUUGGUGGGGUAGUGGCCUACCAAGGCGUCGUCGGGUAGCCGGCCUGAGAGGGUGUACGGCCACAUUGGGACUGAGAUACGGCCCAGACUGCUACGGGAGGCAGCAGUGGGGAAUAUUGCACAAUGGGCGCAAGCCUGAUGCAGCGACGCCGCGUGGGGGAUGACGGCCUUCGGGGUGUAAACAGCUUUCGCUUGGGACGAAGCGGAAGUGACGGUACCUGGAGAAGAAGCACCGGCUAACUACGUG
rnacentral:rRNA from 1 species